rnacentral:rRNA from 1 species
ACUCCUACGGGNAGGCAGCAGUGGGGAAUUUUGCGCAAUGGGGGAAACCCUGACGCAGCAACGCCGCGUGGGUGAUGAAGGCCUUCGGGUCGUAAAGCUCUGUCUGGAGGGAAGAAAUGAUUGGGAGCUAAUACCUCUUGAUCUUGACGGUACCUCUGAAGGAAGCACCGGCUAACUCCGUGCCAGCAGCCGCGGUAAU